rnacentral:tmRNA from 1 species
AACCGGCUGGCUUCCGAACUGGCUUUCCCACGGGCCAGGCAGCGCAAGCUGCAUCGGAAUCAUUCAGUGGGAUAAGGCCGUGCAGCGUCGCGAUGCACGGUUCGAAAAUCCAGCGAAUCGCCUGCAACCAGCCUGUCCGUCGGCGUGUUGCGGGUCAAAUCAAAUGACGCGGCUAAGUAUGUAGAACUGUAUGUGGCGCACUUGUGGACGCGGGUUCAAUUCCCGCCGCCUCCACCA